rnacentral:lncRNA from 1 species
CCUGAAAGUUAAUCAGAUCAGCUAUUUAACAAACACCAGGCUUUCUGACAAGAAAGGAAAUAGAACACGAAUAGGAAUGACUUACAAGCGCUGUCUGAUCUUCGAAUGGCUUCAUUUCAUUUUUCCUGAAAGGCAACAGUUUGUUAGAUGGCAAGGUGCAGUGCGACCACGCAAAGUUGCAGUGUGACCACGGUACUUACUUGUUAAAGAAUACUGAAUGAGGUCUUUUUAGAGAACACUGGAAGUGAAAACGACAGUUAGUUAAACGGUGUAACUGAAGAAACAUAUUUAAGGUCGCGCUUACUAUAUUCCUCAUGGCUUUCAACACUGUGUUGUUGGCGUUGGACCCUCGGAUGAAUAUCGCACUCUUCGUGUUUUCAACUAGCUUUGACGCACGG